GGUAGAGGACGGAACCGAGCUGCAAGUGCGUGCGGGCCUCGAUGCGCUGAGGCGGCUUGAAGGGGAACACGGCCUGCAGGCAGUGCACACACAGGCGGAUCUUGGGCGGGCUGGAAGUGCGGAAGUGCUCGGCGAAGCCGAGAAGCGCCAGGUACCACGACUCGGCCGCCUCAGCCUGCGCUGCCUGAGCCGCCGCCGCCUGAGCCGCCGCCGCUGCUUGAGCCGCCAUUUUGGCCUCCACAACAACAAGCCGCCGCUACAGGGAGGCGGAAGCAGGCGCACGGGGCGGGGAGGGGCACUUCUCACGUGUCUCGCGAGAGCUGCCAUGUAAAGCAUUCUGGAACAUGUAGUUUAUCUUUGGAGUGGCUGCGGCUCCGGGAAAGGACGAGAAAAGGCGAUGCCCUUUGGUCCGCGGGACUGAGACCAGAAAUUACCAGUAGGCUGAGGUUUACUUUCCUUGGGGAAAGGCUCCAGGUGUCCACGGAGUGGCCGGACUUGGUUUGCCGACACAGACUACAUCUCCCGUCAGGCCAUGCGCAUUAUAACAUGCCUUCUCAAGUGGACCCGGAGCAUUGUGGGAUUGGAUGAGUCUCAAGAUGGACAACCGGGAUGUUGCAGGGAAAGCUAACCGGUGGUUUGGAGUUGCACCUCCCAAGUCUGGAAAGAUGAACAUGAACAUACUUCAUCAGGAAGAACUCAUUGCUCAGAAGAAACGUGAAAUUGAAGCCAAAAUGGAGCAGAAAGCCAAGCAGAAUCAGGUGGUCAUCAGCCCUCAGCCCCCGCAUCCUGGCGAAAUUGGGAAUGCACACAACUCUUCCGUUUCCAACAAGUUUGCUAAUGAUGGCAGCUUUUUGCAGCAGUUUCUGAAGUUGCAGAAGGCGCAGACUAGCACAGAUGCCCCACCCAGCACGCCCAGUGCCCCCACUCGAGUGCUCCCCCGCACUGGCAAGAGGCCGCCUCUCAUCAGCAGCCCACCAGGCCAGGUGAAGAACUAUGUGCAUGCCAAGCAGCUACCUGUGGCCACCCGCCCAAGUGUCUUCCAGUCUCCUGAUGAGGAUGAGGAGGAAGACUACGAGCAGUGGCUGGAGAUCAAAGUUUCACCCCCAGAGGGAGCCGAGACUCGGAAAGUGAUAGAGAAAUUGGCCCGCUUUGUGGCAGAAGGAGGCCCCGAGUUAGAAAAAGUAGCUAUGGAGAACUACAAGGAUAACCCGGCAUUUUCGUUUUUGCAUGAUAAGAAUAGCAGGGAAUUCCUCUACUACAGAAAGAAGGUGGCGGAGACAAGAAAGGAAGCACAGAAGUUGCAGGCAGCCUUUCAGAAAGUUUCACCCCCAGAGGAUGAAGAGGCCAAGAACCUUGCAGAAAAGUUGGCCAGGUUCAUAGCGGACGGGGGUCCAGAAGUGGAAACCAUCGCUCUCCAGAACAACCGCGAGAACCAGGCAUUCAGCUUUCUAUACGAACCCAACAGCCAAGGGUACAAAUACUACCGCCAGAAGCUGGAGGAGUUCCGGAAAGCUAAGGCUGGCCCCACAGGCACUCUCGUGGCACCUGACCUCAGCCUGAAACGCAAAUCCCCUCCUGAGACCCCAUCAGGGUCCUUACCCUCAGCUGCUGCCUGCCCUGCCUCAUCUGCCCCCUCGCCUGCAGUCCCCCCAGCUCCAACCAUCCCUGGGAAGCCGGCCACCACAGCCACUGUGAAAAAGAAGCGAAAGAGCCGGUGGGGGCCUGAAGAGGACAAAGUGGAACUCCCACCCGCCGAACUGGUACAGAGGGAUGUAGAUGCCUCUCCCUCACCUUUAUCAGUUCAGGACCUCAAGGGGCUUGGCUAUGAGAAAGGGAAGCCCGUAGGUCUGGUGGGUGUCACAGAGCUGUCAGAUGCCCAGAAGAAGCAGCUGAAGGAGCAACAGGAGAUGCAGCAGAUGUAUGACAUGAUCAUGCAGCACAAGCGUGCGAUGCAGGACAUGCAGCUGUUGUGGGAGAAGGCGCUUCAGCAGCACCAGCACGGCUAUGACAGUGACGAGGAGGUAGACAGCGAGCUGGGCACCUGGGAACACCAGCUGCGGCGCAUGGAAAUGGACAAGACUCGGGAAUGGGCCGAGCAGCUGACAAAGAUGGGCCGUGGCAAGCACUUUAUUGGAGACUUCCUGCCACCAGAUGAGCUGGAGAAGUUCAUGGAAACCUUCAAGGCCCUGAAGAGGCACCACCACUGUAGAUGGAGCCGGCUUUGGCAUCGACCGGCCGGCCGAGCUCUCCAAGGAGGAUGAUGAGUAUGAGGCCUUUCGCAAGAGGAUGAUGCUGGCCUACCGCUUCCGACCCAACCCCCUGAACAACCCCAGACGGCCUUACUACUGAGUAUUCUAGAAAAACACACAAACGUAUUUUCCAAACGACCGACCAUCCCUGGACUGUGGAAUGUUCCGGCCUGCAUUUCUGCCUGCCCUUCCCGUUGUCUCGAGUGUCGUGCCGUGUAUUAAAGUUCCAGUGCUUGCCCACCAUGGCAGCCUGGUUUUGCCAUCACCAGAAA